rnacentral:lncRNA from 1 species
AAAAAAAAAAAAGUAAGAGAUGACUCCUUUAUUUAUAAAAUUAAUUUUUCACAAACAAAAAGCGAGUCUUGCCAUCGAGUGGUAACAUAUGUGAAAAAGUGGGAUCACACCUAUCUCUCUUUCCAUAGUUCAUUUAUUCAUUUGGAGACCCUUGGAAAGUGAUUGGAGGUCGUUCCCCAACUUAGAACGGAUUUUGAUACCCUUGGUACAUCC